UUUUCUCUCUCUCCACGCGAGUUGCGGCUCCCGCCGGGGCAAAUUCAGAGGAAGAACGACAGCUCAUGGAAGGGAGGGGCGACUCGAUGCUGGGGCCUUAGUACUGGGAGUGUAAGCGAGCCUGCGUGAGAGGGUGCAAGGCUAUCCCUAACCCUCAGUCACCAUAUGAUUCCGGCGUUCAGAUUUCAGCAGAGGAAGUUGUUGACGGGAGAAGCGGAGGGGGAGGAGAGGACCCCAGAGAUAUUUCACAAUAUGUGAGUCGCACAACGACAGCAGCUCCUUUAGGGGUGUUCAACGUGGCGAGCUUUCCGCUGUGCCAGUCCCAAUAGUAGCUCAGCUGGAGGUACCACCCACAUCUCCCAGUACGACACGUGACGCCAAGGCGCAUGGAUUCAUGCAGAAAUGGGACAGAGCAGACUUAUGAAUACACACAUGCAAAACUGAUAUAGACUGGAAAUAGACUGAUCUGUACACCCCUACUCCCAGGUUUUGAUCCAACAUCAGCAAUGACGUGGCAGAUAUCACAUGAUGGCAUCGCCAGGCAUUGUAUGUGCUGUCUACAUAAGAUAUAUCUUGGCCCAGACUUGUAAGAAGCAUUCACCAAGGGUGUGCAAUUUGGAUAUUAUCAGAGUGUCAAACCACAGGUGGUCUGGUGGAAUCCAUAUCACGAGAGUAUUCCUUGUGCUAUGAAUGGAGAUUAUUAGACAUACUCAGUGGAAUGAGACAAAUCUCUUUUCCCCACUAGAGGAAAGGGAUGAACAAGGAGAGAAAUCCAGAAAGCACAAAAUCUUUUCUUUGGCUGUUGCCUUAUUUUAUCUCCCUUUUCUAGCCUCUGACUGCUUAAGCAUGAACAAUUUGUGUUUUUCAAUAGCAACUGGCUAAAAUUUUCCUUAUGCCCAUGAAAUUUAUUGCAAUGUCUUAUUACUGUUAUUCACUGAGGAGGGAUCCGGUAUUUCAGCUGGAGAAGGCCCCUUCCCACCUUUACACUCUCUCGACAUUUUCUGGCUCCUCCAUCUCUGCUGUAAAUUCUGGGAAGGGGUUCUCAAGCACAGGAUCCUUCUCUAUGACCUUCUCUCCUUUACCCAGGAAGCAGGGGAGGUUGCUGGUUGAAGGUCACAGUUCGGAUUCAGGAGUGGUAGCCGUAAGGUACCCACUACUAUAGCGUCCAUUGGCAACACUGCUCAUCUCCAUUGGGGAUGUGCUCCCUGGGCCCAGAUAAGAACGAUGUGUAGGCAUUGGGGAAGGGGUCUCACUAGGUACUUUACUCAAGAUGAAGCGUGUCUCAUCAUUGUCUUCUAAGUUGGAGAUGUCCUUCAUCAUACGCCCCUUCUUGUAUGUGACAGACAGGGCAUUCGAACCAUCUGAUACCAGAUGAAACUGGCGGAGGAUGAAGACAACUGGCAGAGGAAGGGUGGCCAGGAUGAUCAGCAAGACAAGGACACCCAUAGCCCAUUUGGGGUAAUAGAGAAAUUUCUCGGCUGCCUGGAAGAGAAAGGGAAAUGUAAUUACCAUUUGUCAACCUCGCCACAAGUGCAACCCUAGAAGUGACCAAGUUACUAUUCAUGUGGCACCAAGGCAAAUAUAGAAUGUUGCUUAUACUUCAUCUCCAAGAGAAGGGCUAGCAUGUACUGCAAGGGGAAAUUUUAAUACAGGAAAAGAACUUCUAUCAAAUGACCAUUCUCAUCCUUCCUUUCCCUUUCCUACAUGUACACCUGGCAGCUGGCAAAGGGUUACUCUCACAAGAGUAAUGCAUUAGAACAUUUUACUCUUGUGGGAGGCAACCCCUAUUUAAAUAAAAUAUUAACAAAGAAGAAGUAGCUUCACAAGGUUAUAAAGCUAGGACAAUUUCCUGCAGAACAAAUCAACAUUUACAUGUGUGUUCAAGCUCAGAUUCCACAUCCUGGACUACCACACCUUAAUAUCGGACUACCUUAAAGCAAGGGAGCAUUUGCAACACUGGAAUUUCAACAGCUAUUGCUCUACAUGGAUCGGACAGCCUCUUGCUCUCAUCUCCUUGGAAGGUGUUGGCCUAGCAACUGCACAAAUAAUCACAGCCAUUUGCAGUGAGGAUGCUGUGGCUUUAUUGUAUACUGGCAUGCAUUUUCAACUUGUAUGUGGCAUGGUGAAAAAAUUACAUGGGUCGGUUGCAUAUUGGAGCACAGUUUGUGGAUCUGUGGCCUUUGGGAUGCACUCUUAUUCACUAACUCACCUCUUCUCUGAUCCAGGCAUUAUACCCUGGAGGACUGACUGCCAGCUGAAUCACACUGGCUGUCAUUAGGCCAGCCAUGCAAAUGGGCGAGAUGUACUUCCACGUGUAGAAAUAAAACCGGUAAGGCUGGAAACCCAGCAUCUCUGUUAAUUCUUGCAUGAAUCUAGAAAGAGGACAGGAAGAAAGCACACAAGCAGAUGAAACACAAGGGCCUGGUUCCUCAUUCCUUACUUCCACUGAUUUGGAUGGGGAAUUCUGAGUACAGAACUUUGAUGGGGCCAAAAGUCCAAAGAAGCAUCUAGUAGUCUGAGUGUUUCAAAAGCAAUUAAGCCCAAGUAGCGGUAACAGGGGCAAAGUGUUAAGAGGCAACAUUUAAGAAUUCAGAAAAGUCAGAAGGAAUAUGAAGAAGGUGACCCCCUUUGGAAGAACUCUUACUUCUUGGUGCCAUAAAUCCAAGCCACAGCAAUGUUCUCCAGGAUUACAACAAGAGUGAGUGGCAGAGUUGCAGAGUAAUCAUCAAACAUGUUGACAAAGUAGUUGCCUGAGCGUUGCACAAAGAUCAACCCCACGAAGAAAGCAAAAAUACAACAGCCAACUGUAAAGAGCAGAUCAUAGUAAUAGUUAAUACACAGUUACAUGAGAGUACAUAAAACUUCUUCUGGCAAAAUGGCAACAUUGUGUCUACAGAAGAGAAGCAAUGUAUUACAAGGGCCCCAAUACAAUCAUGACACGUGAACUGAUGGUAAAGACUAAGGACAGGAAUUAGAGGGAUAUUAGAGCCAUUCAGACAUACAAAAAAUGCAUCAUGGUAUAUCUGUCACGAGCACUCUAAAUACAUUGGAAAAAAGAUUUGAGGGCUGUAUGAUCCCCUCAAAUGUAGCAGAUACCUGUGAAGGUGUUAAAGUUAUCACAUUGUUGCUCACUGUGAUAUAGAGAAACAUCUCCUUUGCAUUGUGUUACUGAGGCUGUGAAGUCGAGCGUUAAAGAUGUUCCAAAUUUAUGGCUGCCUAUGUAACACAAACUAAAUCCCAUGUUCCUUAUAUUUGCUGAAUAGUUUAAAAAUAGUUUAAAAACUUCCUCUUGAAGAUUUAAGAUAAGUGACCUUUCUUUAUUCAUCCAGACAAUAGCACCCUUAUCCCAAUUUUCAAAUGGGAAACUGAGGCUGGGCAACAGCUGAACUCAUAUUUGCAUCCAAGUAAUCCAGGUCAAAGUCCAACCUCCGCCUUCUGCGAUAUACUGGUGUCUUUGAAUCUAACAUCCUUCACAUCGACUCUGUGGGAAUAGUACCCACACGUCAGU